AGGCUCCCUCAGCACGGCCACCAGCUCCUUCUGUUCUCUGUGUAGAGCCUGACAUCAACAGGAGAGAGCAGACAGAUUGAGACGGCCCCUUGCUCCACGCUGCACAGGAGAGCCAGGCAGCAGGGCGGCUCACUGAAACCACAGCCCUGGGAGAGCAAGUCUUUCAUGUCUUACUCACUGCUGAAUCUCUGGCAUUUAAGACAGUAUUGGGCGUACAGUAAGUGCUCCUAAAUACUUGUUGAAUGAACAAAUGAAUAAAAACCAGAUGCUCA